GUAUAUAGGCAAUUGAGUGUAGGUUAGAAAUUAUAAUUAUGCCUACAAUUUGAUUAGAGUUCCAAGAGUUCUCUUCAGUUUCUGGGAAGAAGAGUUUUUAAAAAGACUUACGUCUAUUAAUCUCAUUUUUAAAUUGGAUCCAAAACUAGUUGUAAUACGUAAUCAUAAUGUUUCGUCUUCCAUUCGGCGAAAGGGUAGAUCCUAUGGAAGAAAAAAGACAAGCGAGGGAGAACACUAUAAAUAGUGUUAUAACGUUUUGCGUACUUUGCGCUGCUAUAAGAAUUGCUCCCAUGAUCCUGGAGCAUAGCGGGGUGCAGUAGAGCAGCGGGGCAGUCGGUGGAAGCUGCAUGUCUUUGUGCAAAUAAAAGGAGUUAGAUAAUAAAUUA